AUUGAACGCUGGCGGCAGGCCUAACACAUGCAAGUCGAACGGUAACAGGAAGAAGCUUGCUUCUUUGCUGACGAGUGGCGGACGGGUGAGUAAUGUCUGGGAAACUGCCUGAUGGAGGGGGAUAACUACUGGAAACGGUAGCUAAUACCGCAUAAUGUCGCAAGACCAAAGAGGGGGACCUUCGGGCCUCUUGCCAUCGGAUGUGCCCAGAUGGGAUUAGCUAGUAGGUGGGGUAACGGCUCACCUAGGCGACGAUCCCUAGCUGGUCUGAGAGGAUGACCAGCCACACUGGAACUGAGACACGGUCCAGACUCCUACGGGAGGCAGCAGUGGGGAAUAUUGCACAAUGGGCGCAAGCCUGAUGCAGCUAUGCCGCGUGUAUGAAGAAGGCCUUCGGGUUGUAAAGUACUUUCAGCGGGGAGGAAGGGAGUAAAGUUAAUACCUUUGCUCAUUGACGUUACCCGCAGAAGAAGCACCGGCUAACUCCAUG
rnacentral:rRNA from 1 species